CUUUUUGCCACUUAGUUGACGAAUUUCAGGUAAAGAGAACACAUGUAGCAUUAAUUCAAUGGAGUGGUGGGUGGUUUAGGAUGCGGUGCAGCAGAUAAAGUGCUGGACUUGCAAUACAAGAAGUACAAUCUGUGUGUGUGUGUGUGUGUGUGUGCGCGCGCGUGUGCUCAAUCCCUCACAUCCCAUGUGCCAGCAUGAUAUUCUGCUCCCCCCUUCCUCCCUCCUUCCGUCCCCUCCUCCACCUGCUCGUCCUCCUUUAGCUCUCAUUUAUAAUUUUGAUUUUGAAAGACUACAAUCAGAGAACUUAAAAGACUUUGCUUUUCCUGUUGCAGAUUUAUGUGGAUGAAGUCCCCCUGCCUUUCCCAGGACACAAUCUCAUCGCCAUUGCCACAGCUGUUGUGCUUGGGGGGCUCAUUUUUAUAGCAUUUAUGUUGCAGAUACGGAACAUCCACCCUUGGGAUAUGUGCAAGAAUUGUAUCCGGGGAAUCAAAAUGAAGCUGCAACAUCUUUCCCAACAGAAAUCUUAGUGGCAGACAUGACAGCCAUGAUUCUCCUCUUUACCUGCCGGUGGAAUUAGACAAUUCUCAGAGAAGUCUAGUUAAAUGUUAAUGUGAAAGUCAGAGGAAGUCUGGUAGCAUCCCAUGGUAACUUAAGUUGCUAAUUCUCCAUUUUUUUAAAUCUGUAGACAAUGUCUUGUGUCAGCAUUCCUACAGAAGAUGCUCCUCGAGGGUCUUAGGAAACUAUAAAAUGAUAAUCAUUACUAUGUGGAGUGAUUGUGCUGCAUUUUUCAACCUCUUUGUUUUAAGUAUUUUACUUAUUUUAAAUGAAAGCUACAGAGAGCAUACUAUCUAGGUGAGCUAUUUACUUGCCAGUCCUCAACUUUUAGGGGGCAGAGUCUACUCUCUGAGACCACAGCCCCUGAAGGUUGUUGUUUGCAGAUCAGAGUGAGUAGAACUCAUUCCUUCCCAGGGAAGGAGAGGUGGGGACCAAGGGCUUGAACCUGUGUCCUUGCACACUGUAAUGUGAGCGCUUAACCAGGUGUGCCACCACCUGGCCCCCAGUGUCUAUUUCUUUCUCCCUAUCUCUCCCUUCUCUCUCAAUUUCUUUCUUUCCUAUACAAUAAAAUGGAAAAAUGGCCUUCAGGAGCCGUGGAUUUGUAGUGCUGGCACUGAGCCCCAGUGAUAACCCUGGAGGGAAA